rnacentral:lncRNA from 1 species
CUAACCUGAAUUAACUCCUAAUGAAGCAUUAUGAUCAGCUCGGAUAUCUACCGACCUUCCAUAUGAGACAUCGGUCCAGAAAUGAUGUGACCCCAAAGUACAGACGGUAAUUUUAUAGUUAUCUUCCAGUUUUGCUACAGUCAUGCUACAACUCAUCCCUAGCUGGCACAUACAACUAAGUAUGAACUCACAGCUAAUACAUACAACUAUACUCUAACUCAUUUACA